rnacentral:rRNA from 1 species
GAUGAACGCUAGCGGCAGGCUUAAUACAUGCAAGUCGAGGGGCAGCAGGACUGUAGCAAUACAGUUGCUGGCGACCGGCAAACGGGUGCGGAACACGUACGCAAUCUACCCAAAACUGGUGAAUAGCCCUCCGAAAGGAGGAUUAAUACACCGUAACGUAAGGAAGUGGCAUCACUCUCUUACUAUAGCUCCGGCGGUUUUGGAUGAGCGUGCGCCUGAUUAGGUAGUGGCGGGGUAACGGCCCACCAAGCCAGCGAUCAGUAACUGGUGUGAGAGCACGACCAGUCACACGGGCACUGAGACACGGGCCCGACUCCUACGGGAGGCAGCAGUAAGGAGUAUUGGUCAAUGGACGCAAGUCUGAACCAGCCAUGCCGCGUGAAGGAUGAAGGUCCUCUGGAUUGUAAACUUC